AGGUCUAGCCUGCCCACUGAUAUUUUAAAUGGCCGUGGUAUUUUGACCGUGCUAAGGUAGCAUAAUCAUUAGUUUUUUAAUUAAAAACUGGAAUGAAAGGUUGGAUGAGAAAAUAGCUGUCUCUAUUAAAUUUAAUUAGAAUUUUAUUUUUAAGUUAAAAAGCUUAAUUGUUAUUAAAAGACGAGAAGACCCUAUAGAGUUUAAUUAUUUAAUAAAAAUUAUAUUUUAGUAUUAAUUUAUUUAUUUUAUUGAAUAAUUUAAUUGGGGUGAUUGAAAAAUUUAAUUAACUUUUUUUAUUUAAAAACAUUAAUUUAUGAAUAAAUGAUCCGAUAUUUUUGAUUAUAAGAUAAAAUUACCUUAGGGAUAACAGCGUAAUUUUUUUAGAAAGUUCAUAUUAAAAAAAAAGAUUGCGACCUCGAUGUUGGAUUAAAAUAAAUUUUUGGUGUAGAAGCUAAAAUAUUAGGUCUGUUCGACCUUUAAAAUUUUACAUGAUCUGAG
rnacentral:rRNA from 1 species